rnacentral:lncRNA from 10 species
CUGCAAUCACUAGAUAGAUCCCUCAUGGUUAUUAUUCUUAAACGGUGUAUGGAGUAUUUCAUACAGUGGAAUAAACUCUCAAGACCUAACCCAGACAUCAUUCCUAUUUUUCUCCCCUUUGUGUCCCCAAAGGUCCUGAUCCCAACUCCAGCCUGGAAGGAGGUAAGUUAAUUGUGGGAAAGGGAGGGAGGGAGGCACAGAGGGGAGGGAUUGCUGAAAAUAAGACUCCAGAGGACCUAGCCCAGAACGGAGGGUAGCCGAGCUGGCCAUCUUAAUGUGCAGGCUUCCCCAAGUGCUGUGUCUGGCAGCCCUCCAUGCCAGCGCAGGAGGAAAAUCUGGUUGAAGGGAGAGCAGGGAACUUUUAUGAUGCCCAAAGAUUUCCCCAAGACAGAUGUUUUUGCUUCUUGGCAUUGCAUUUCUGGAGGGGCAGAGCAAUGGAGUCACUGUCAUUGAAAAUGACUGUGUCCCUGUGGUGAAAUUGGCCCAGCCAGGACUGGUAAUACAUUGAGGUGGUUCCCAAGUUUGGUUGGCUUCCUAGAAGUUGAAAGCCUUAUUUCUCUGAGCACAUUUCCCUUUAAUCACUGUGCUUUCCAGAGACCCAGGCUUCAGCUGUAUCCAGCACAAAACAAUUUGGGUACAAGCCACAAAGAGGACUCUAACAGCAUGCAUAAAGACUCCAACUCCCUGAAAUUGAUGUUUUUCUUCUCAUCACUGCCAUUCCCACACAUGCCUAUAACAUGGAUUUGAAAUGGCCUGUUUGUAUAAAGACUGCACACUGUUUCAAGCCAUCACAACAAUGGAUAAGAAGCAUUUACACUAUCAUUUUUAAUGCAAAAGACAGAGUUACCCUAAGCCACGCUGCUAUUAGCUUUGAAUGUUUUUUGUCAGGGUGCAGUCUGCUGUGCAUGAGACCAAGAUGAAAUGCCAUUCCAGGUGACUCCGUGACCCUAUUGGCAAAGAGGACCAGCAUUAAGAUGUCUGUUCAUCAAUUUCUUGAUGUCUGCCCAUCAGUUUCUCUCUCGAUCAGGUGCUCCACCAGACUCAAUUUAAUGGAGGAAAUCUCAUUUGGGUCCUGGAAAGAUUAAAGCACCUUACCCUUUACUUCCAAAUUGAGUUCCUCUGGGAAUCAACUUGAGAUCCAGAAGUCUUGAAUGAAACCAAAUGCUUUGGGAGAUAGUUUGCAUUGCCUUAAAGUUUGCUCUCUGGAGGACUGUAGACACCGCAAACGGCCUUCUGUACUGUGUUCGGCUACUGUAGUCAAUGUACUGAGAAACUCUUAAUAUUCCUAGGGCUUCCUAAAUGGCCUAGAAAUAAAGCUAACAGAAGAGGGCAAUAUAUUUCACAUAACUAACUUAACAGCAUACCCAAAGUUAUUUCUUUUCAAAUAGCUCAUGAAAGGACCUGGUCAGAAUUUUGGUGGCAAUAGAAAUACCUGAACAUGAAUCCAUCAGCUGCCCUUUAAAUCUCCAGACUUUGAGUCUAUUAAGAAUGAAACACCACCCUGGAGGCUACAACCUUUACAAGGUCUGUGUUUCUUCUCCAAAAAAUAAAAAGAACAAAGUCACCACUCUCCUCUCUCAACUGGAGGAAAACUCAGU